GCAGCUUGCUGGACUGUAACUGANGCUGAGGCACGAAAGCGUGGGGAUCAAACAGGAUUAGAUACCCUGGUAGNCCACGCCGUAAACGAUGAAUGCUAGCUGUUAGCGAUAUACUGUUAGCGGCACAGAGAAAUCGUUAAGCAUUCCACCUGGGGAGUACGCCGGCAACGGUGAAACUCAAAGGAAUUGACGGGGGCCCGCACAAGCGGAGGAACAUGUGGUUUAAUUCGAUGAUACGCGAGGAACCUUACCUGGGCUUAAAUUGCAGUGGAAUAACGUGGAAACAUGUUAGCCUUCGGGCCGCUGUGAAGGUGCUGCAUGGUUGUCGUCAGCUCGUGCCGUGAGGUGUCGGCUUAAGUGCCAUAACGAGCGCAACCCUCAUCGAUAGUUACUAACAGGUUAAGCUGAGGACUCUAUCGAGACUGCCGACGUAAGUCGUGAGGAAGGUGGGGAUGACGUCAAAUCAGCACGGCCCUUACGUCCAGGGCUACACACGUGUUACAAUGGGGGGUACAAAGGGCAGCUACCUGGCGACAGGAUGCUAAUCUCAAAAACCUCUCUCAGUUCGGAUUGGAGUCUGCAACCCGACUCCAUGAAGCUGGAUUCGCUAGUAAUCGCGCAUCAGCCACGGCGCGGUGAAUACGUUCCCGGGCCUUGUACACACCGCCCGUCAAGCCAUGGGAGCCGGGGGGACCUGAAGUAUGCAACCGUAAGGAGCGUCCUAGGGUAAAACUGGUGACUGGGGCU
rnacentral:rRNA from 1 species